ACCAGGAUUGAGAACUUAGUGUCUCAAGGAGCUGAUCUCAAUGUCCAGUCAGCUGACGGUCAGAUGUGUCUCCAUGAAGCCAUUAAACUCUGUUACAAAACUGGGAGAAAUGUAGAAGAAAGUUACACGCUACGAAAGAUUUCAGACGAGUUUUACAAUGGAAACCUAUCACCCGAGAAAGCUUUGGUGUUUUAUUUACUUGACAAUGGAGCUAAGACAGACGUGGAAGAUAAGUCAGGAAAAUUACCAAUCCACUAUGCCAAAGAUGAAGUGGUUAGACAGAUGAUCUUAUCGAGAAUGAAAUCUCCUGAAGAGGCCUGUUAUUAUCAAG